rnacentral:tRNA from 1 species
GGACUAUGGCUCAGUGGUAGAGCAUCUGCUUGGCAAGCAGAAGUUCCCCAGUUCAAUCCCCAGCAUCUCCA